rnacentral:rRNA from 1 species
GAUCCUAGCUCAGGAUGAACGCUAGCUACAGGCUUAACACAUGCAAGUCGAGGGGAAACGACAUCGAAAGCUUGCUUCCGAUGGGCGUCGACCGGCGCACGGGUGAAUAACGCGUAUCCAACCUGCCCACCACUUGGGGAUAACCUUGCGAAAGUAAGACUAAUACCCAAUGAUAUCUCUAGAAGACAUCUGAAAGAGAUUAAAGAUUUAUCGGUGAUGGAUGGGGAUGCGUCUGAUUAG